AAGAUACUCCCUCCGUUCCAAAUUACUUAUCGCAAAAAUGGAUGUAUCUAGAACUAAAAUACAUCUAGAUACAUCUAUACCAGCGACAAGUAAUUCGGAAUGGAGGGAGUAUAAG
rnacentral:pre_miRNA from 1 species